rnacentral:rRNA from 1 species
AAUCAGCAUGUCGCGGUGAAUACGUUCCCGGGCCUUGUACACACCGCCCGUCACACCAUGAGAGUUGGCAAUACCCAAAGUUCGUGAGCUAACCGCAAGGAGGCAGCGACCUAAGGUAGGGUCAGCGAUUGGGGUGAAGUCGUAACAAGGUAGCCGUAGGGGAACCUGCGGCUGGAUCACCUCCUUU